CCAUCCAUGUCUCUGCAGCAGCAUCACGUGUCUCCUCGUCCUGUUUCCUGAUAUUUCAUCAAGCUCUCUGCAGACGGACUGACAUCAUCCAGGAAGCCGCCGUAUCAGCUCCAUUCCCAGGAAUUAACCCUUGAUCUGCCUCUGUUUGCACCCAGCUGGUGUUUUUGUCAGAGGAAGUGGACUCUAGACACCCUGAAGCCGUCGUUACUCUGAGAUCAGGACACGCCCAUGAAGAUGUCUGCUGGGAAAGUUGUUCAAACAGGAACUCUAACGGGUUAAAGCUUCACAGCAGCAGCGUCAGCGCCUCACUGGGCCGGAUGGACGAUGUGACAUAAAUGCUGAGUCGCUGUGUCCUCAUAGAUGUGAGCUCAUACAGUGGAACAAAGAAGUCUGAGGUUCAGUCUGACACGUCUGUCUGUCCGCCGACUACAACCAAGAAUCUGUGACUGUAUGACCUCCAGAUGACACCAUGACUAACACCAAGAGAACAAAAUCAUGUCUGGUCUGACACUUGUUUUGAAAAAUGCUGCAAAGAACCCACAGUAGUUUAUGUCAAUCAGGUUAAUGAGGAAGUUAAAUGGACUUCAGUCGUUUAAUAAACAGCUGCUACAACUGAA